rnacentral:lncRNA from 1 species
CCGAGGCAUGUCCCAGACAUGUCUUACACUGGCGCACAAACCACCUAAUGCCUUGGCACGAAUACCCAGUUCGUAUCCUAAUGUUUCAACGGGAUAUUUUUAUUAUCUCAAUUAAUGCUAGACAUUUUCAAUUCAUAACUUGACGACUCAUACAAUAUCAAUUCAAUGGUGAUAUGAAUACAAGUAUUAACAAUGCAAUUGUAUCAUUUACAUACAACUUACCUCGGUUUACAAAAAAAGUACUUGGCUAUUCGGUUUAG